rnacentral:rRNA from 1 species
GAUCCUGGCUCAGGAUGAACGCUAGCGACAGGCCUAACACAUGCAAGUCGAGGGGCAGCACGAAGUAAGCUUGCUUACUUUGGUGGCGACCGGCGCACGGGUGCGUAACACGUAUCCAAUCUGCCCGUCACUCGGGGAUAGCCUUCUGAAAGGAAGAUUAAUACCCGAUGGGAUGCAUUUCCGGCAUCGGAGAUGCAUUAAAGAUUUUAUCGGUGACGGAUGAGGAUGCGUACGAUUAGCUAGUUGGCGGGAUAACGGCCCACCAAGGCAACGAUCGUUAGGGGUUCUGAGAGGAAGGUCCCCCACACUGGAACUGAGACACGGUCCAGACUCCUACGGGAGGCAGCAGUGAGGAAUAUUGGUCAAUGGACGAGAGUCUGAACCAGCCAAGUAGCGUGCAGGACGACGGCCCUCUGGGUUGUAAACUGUCUUUUAGGUUGGGAAAUAAAAAGAGGGACGUGUCCCUAAUUGUAUGUACCAUCAGAAAAAGGACCGGCUAAUUCCGUG